GGGCCCGCACAAGCGGUGGAGCAUGUGGUUUAAUUCGAUGAUACGCGAGGAACCUUACCAGGGCUUAAAUGCAUAAUGACAGAUUGGGAAACCAAUCCUUCUUCGGACAAUAUGCAAGGUGCUGCAUGGUUGUCGUCAGCUCGUGCCGUGAGGUGUUGGGUUAAGUCCCGUAACGAGCGCAACCCCUAUCCUUAGUUGCCAGCGGUUCGGCCGGGGACUCUAAGGAAACUGCCAGCGCAAGCUGUGAGGAAGGUGGGGAUGACGUCAAAUCAUCACGGCCCUUACGUCCUGGGCUACACACGUGCUACAAUGGUAGGUACAAAGGGCAGCCACUUGGUGACAAGGAGCUAAUCUCUAAAACCUAUCUCAGUUCGGAUUGGAGUCUGAAACUCGACUCUAUGAAGCUGGAAUCGCUAGUAA
rnacentral:rRNA from 1 species